AGCGAACGCUGGCGGCAGGCCUAACACAUGCAAGUCGAACGAAGUCUUCGGACUUAGUGGCGGACGGGUGAGUAACACGUGGGAACGUGCCUUUAGGUUCGGAAUAACUCAGGGAAACUUGUGCUAAUACCGAACGUGCCCUUCGGGGGAAAGAUUUAUCGCCUUUAGAGCGGCCCGCGGCUGAUUAGCUAGUUGGUGAGGGAAAGGCUCACCAAGGCGACGAUCAGUAGCUGGUCUGAGAGGAUGAUCAGCCACAUUGGGACUGAGACACGGCCCAGACUCCUACGGGAGGCAGCAGUGGGGAAUCUUGCGCAAUGGGCGAAAGCCUGACGCAGCCAUGCCGCGUGGAUGAUGAAGGUCUUAGGAUUGUAAAAUCCUUUCACCGGUGAAGAUAAUGACUGUAGCCGGAGAAGAAGCCCCGGCUAACUUCGUGCCAGCCGCCGCCGUAACAC
rnacentral:rRNA from 1 species